AAAAAGGCUCUUUUCAGAGCCCUUUUCGUUUUUUUGCUAAUCAAAU
rfam:Flavobacterium sp. CF136 PMI10_contig14.14, whole genome shotgun sequence.